GGCCAAUUAGCUCAGUCAGUAGAGCGUAGUGCUAACAACGCUAAGGUUGUGGGUUCGAUUCCCUUUCAGUCCC
rfam:Apaloderma vittatum contig7616, whole genome shotgun sequence.